GGAAUAGUGCUCGAUCUUUCAAUACUGGUCCUGGGGGAACCCUCUCCUACAUGUUUUAGAUGUUGCCCUGCUCCAACGCACCUGAUUCCAAUGGUCCGCUGAUUAGCAAGCUCUACAACAGCCUGAUAACGAGCCGUUCAUUUGAAUCAGAUAAUCACAUCACUGGAAAGUUCAUUCAUUCGAACUGUCGGAGCAAAGUCUUUUCCUCUGGAGAGGAAUUCCCUGAUCGUUCCCUGUAAGGACACACUUCCCGUUCCUCAGUCCACGGAUGAUUAAACGAUUCCUCCUGAUUCUUCCUGACUUUCAAACUUCAACCGUCUUAAGGAUGGAGGAUGAAGAAGAUCAAACAAAAUAUUGAGGGAUCUAUCUCAUCCUUUCUUUUUUUUAUUUUGUCUCAUUCAUUUAUUCAUUCAUUCACUCAGUCAUAUCAUCCCCUCGGCUCUAUCAACUCUAUUACCAUCCCACCAACAAAUAUGUAAGACAAAUUGAGUUGCAGGCUCUCAAUACCCACCACAAUUAUACCAGACCCAAUAAGAAGAAGAGUCAUUUGAUGGUAUAAUUGGAAAAGCUCCUCGCUCGGUCUCACUGCUCUCCCGGAGGGUUUUGCUCAUUUGUGUUGGCGCGUUAGCGACUAAUUCUUCCUCUAAUCGCAGACAAACUGUGCCAUCAGGUUGGUCUUUUAAUACACAGCAGGUAACUUCUUUCUUUUAUCUCAUUUACAGUGUGGAACUGUGUUGAUUUACACGUUUACAUGAACGGAACACUAGGGGAUAAUAUGCAUCACUUGUGAUGAGAUGAAAAUGGAGGCAUUAAGAGACUCCGUCGUGGAACUGUGGCGACUGUAAUCCCACUUCUCUGCGUGUCUGUCACUUGACAGCACUUGAGAGACAAUGACUGUGACCCAGAUGCUGGAUUCCAAUUAGUGGCGGUGAGUGUAACAGUUGAGAUGGAAAGUGAACAGGGUCUUUACAGAGUCCUGAGGGUGUCUGAGUACUGCCUGAAGACAAAUGAGAUCACAGAGGGAGAGUCAGUCAGACCACAGCUGUUUCUGAAGAGUCUCAGCUCAGCUCGGCUCAUGUAUGUGUUCCUCUACAUGUUAUGAACAUGUACGGCAGCACAGUCACAGUGUCUAUAAAUUU